rnacentral:rRNA from 1 species
AUUACAAAUGUCUGGGAUGUCCAAUCGGGCCCCCAAGCAAACACAUCCAUGUGUACACUCCCAUGUUGCUUCCCCAGAUCAGUGGCCACUGCUGCCAGCCCACCCCCUCAAUUGGGGUCCUGGGUUGAGGUGUCUGGGGAAGGGCCCAAUAACAAACCUUUGAACCAAUUAGUUGUCUGAGUAGGCCACCCGCCGCAAUCUUUAAAACAUGUUAAAACUUUCAACAACGGAUCUCUUGGCUCUCGCAUCGAUGAAGAACGCAGCGAAAUGCGAUAAGUAAUGUGAAUUGCAGAAUUCAGUGAAUCAUCGAAUCUUUGAACGCACAUUGCGCCCUUUGGUAUUCCUUAGGGCAUGCCUGUUCGAGCGUCACUAAAAACCCCCUCACAGAUAAUGUGGUAUUGGUAGAAGUGAACGGUACUUACAUUACCUUGUCUCACUCUGCUGAAAUGAAUAGGCCAGAGAAGUGGACCCAUGGUAAUUGACUCCAGGAGUGUUUUUCAAUGCUAAACUAGUCUUUACCCAAGUCAAAUUCUGAGCUACCGGACCCCCCAUUAAGUCCAAAACAGAGUGGUUGACCUCGGAUCAGGUAGGGAUACCCGCUGAACUUAAGCA